GCCCUUAUAGCUCAGUGGGAGAGCGCAUCACUCGUAACAUCGAUAUAUGAUGAGGUCCGCGGUUCAAUCCCGCGUGGGGGCA